rnacentral:rRNA from 1 species
AUAUCCUAUUAGCUUGUUGGUGCGGUAACGGCGCACCAAGGCGAUGAUGGGUAGCCGGCCUGAGAAGGCGACCGGUCACACUGGGACUGAGAGAGGUGCCCAGACUCCUACGGGAGGCUGCAGUCGAGAAUCUUCCGCAAUGGGCGCAAGCCUGACGGAGCGACGCCGCGUGGAUGAAUGAAGGCCUUCGGGUUGUAAAGUCCUGUCAGAUGGGGAGAAACGCAUGCGGUUAAUAGCCGGCCUGCUUGACAAUCCAUCACAGGAAGUCACGGCUAAAUUCGUGCCAGCAGCCGCGGUAAUACGAAUGUGGCAAGCGUUGUUCGGAAUCAUUGGGUUUAAAGGGUGCGUAGGCGGCGGGUUAAGUCGCGUGUGAAAUCCCUCAGCUCACCUGGGGAAUGGCGCCCGAUACUGAUUCACUUGAGUACGGAGGAAGAGAGCGGAAUUCUGGGUGUAGCGGUGAAAUGUGGCGAUAUCCAAGAGGAAGACCAGUGGCGAACGCCGGCUCUCUAAUUUCGAUACUGACGCUGAGGCACGAAAUCCAUGGGAUCGAACGGGAUUAGAUACCCCGGUAGUCCUGGCCCUAAACGAUGAGCACUGGGUGGGGGGGAUUUUGAUGUCUUCUCUGGCGUAGCGAAAGCGUUAGUUGGUCCACCUGAGGAGUACGGUCGCGAGAUUAAAACUCAUAGGAAUUGACGGGUGCUUGCACAAGCGGUGCAGGAUGUGGUCUAAUUCGAUGCAACGCGAAGAACAUUACCUGGGCUUGACAUGCUGGGAUUAACCCUGUGAAAGCAGGGGGAUUGCCCAUCCGGGUGUAACCAGUACAGGUCUUGCAUGGCAGUCGUCAGUUCAGUGUCGUGAGAUGUCGGGUUAAGUCCCUUAACGAGCGAAGCCCUUGUCCUUAGUUGCCAGCGGAUCAUGCCGGGGAGUCUAAGCAUAUUGCCGGUGUCGAAAACCGGAUGACCACGGGGAUGACGUCAAGUCAUCAUGGCCCUUACGCCCAGGGCUACACACGUCGUACAAUGGACGGUACAAAGAGAAGCAAUGCCGCGAGGUGGAGCAAAUC